ACUGUGGUACAUCUAUACCAUGGACUACUUAGCAAUAAAAAAGAACAAACUAUUGAUAUACCCAACAACUUGGAUGGCUCCUAAGGGUAUUAUGCUCAGUAAAAAAGGCCAAUCUCAAAAAGUCA